UACGAAGGGUGCAAGCGUUACUCGGAAUUACUGGGCGUAAAGCGUGCGUAGGUGGUUCGUUAAGUCUGAUGUGAAAGCCCUGGGCUCAACCUGGGAAUUGCAUUGGAUACUGGCGAGCUAGAGUGCGGUAGAGGAUGGCGGAAUUCCCGGUGUAGCAGUGAAAUGCGUAGAGAUCGGGAGGAACAUCUGUGGCGAAGGCGGCCAUCUGGACCAGCACUGACACUGAGGCACGCAAGCGUGGGGAGCAACCAGG
rnacentral:rRNA from 1 species